rnacentral:lncRNA from 1 species
CCUUCCCCCUUUCCCCUUCCCCCUUCUACUGGCUUCCCCACGCCGAUACCAUUCUAUCCUCCUUGACAUACGGCCCACCCAAUAUCUAUUUCUCCAUCCCAUUUCAUUAUCUUGAUCUCUAUUAUGAGCAAUCCGACAACUAUUAGCGGGAUAUUCUCGAAAAAGAUUUACUAGUCCUUUUAAAAAGUCCGGUGUUUAUAGGCUAUGUGAUCUUCUAUGUUCUGUUAGUAGAGGAGCUAUUGCUCGAUUUGGUUUUUGAGAUGUUGGAUCUGAACUGGUCGGUGGAUAGAUGGUUAUGGGCUAUCCGUGGCGGCUAAUUUUGGUAUCUUAGUGGUUUCCCGUGCUGACUUUUGUGGCUUAAAUGCCUUAUCCUCUUCAGAUCUCAGUUUGGGUGUAAUUGGUAGAUCUAUUUCUACUCAAAGAGAUUUAUCAGUUUCGGCAUAUUUGUAUAUUUGCUAGAUCUGUUGCUUUUAUGCUUCCGAUUUGAAUUUUAUGUUUUUCCUGGUUAUCUCUUUUAAAGUUUAGAUUUCGAUGUUAUUGAUGAUAUCAGUAUGUCCAUGCCAUCAACUGGUUUCAUCUGGGUUCGUGUGAAUGUCUUUUCGAUCUAGAUCCUUUGUAAAUACUGCCCAUUAUUUUUAAGGGUUUAGGUUAGAAUGUUUGUUUGUUGGCCAAAAUCUGUUUCAAUUAUGUCAUGUCUUGAUUUGUUUGAUAAAUUGAUUAUUUAGCCUUUGAUGGUUCUGCCUUUUUCGGUCAUCUUGGGAUACUAUGGCUUGUUGCAGAUUAUGGGGAGAUGUUGCCAGAGAUGGUGGGGUUUCGCUAGAUUCAAUGGAGUUGAUCCCCUGCAUACUGCCGGAGUUUGAGCGUCUAUUUUGGUGGACUGAUGAGGUUGGCCUCGGGGAUGAUACGAUGAUUUUGGUCCCACAGCAAUUUCAAAUUCAAUUUUAGUUUGAAAUUUCUCCCAGCAGCUUGCAUCUUAUUGCUCAAGUUGCUAGUGGAUUCAUGAAUAUGCUAAUAUCCCACAUGGGCCGAUUUUACGUCAGCUAGACAGCUUAGUCCGUCUCUUGAUUGAUGGUUUAUGGGCUUGUUUGUUUUUUAAUUGGGUCUUUUUGUUCUGGUCCACCUGUGGGCCGGUUUCUUAUUCCGGAUGGGUCACACUUAUGGCCUAUUUGAUUGAUUUUAAAUCAUAGCCUUGGAAUGUAAUGUUACUUAUUAUAGGUUAGGAUUUUGUUUCCUAGAUUUGUUAGGUGCUUUUAGUCUAACGGGAGGAGGGACUGAUGUAUUGAUCUUAAUUUUACUAUAUGUUUUGUUGUAAAUUAAUAUACAAAUUAAAUUUAGCGAAAAAAAAUUAUAAUUUUUGAUGAAUUUUGAUUAGCAAUUAAAAUUUUUUACAAAUUUAUAAUUUGUGAAAGAUUUUUUCUUUCACUAUAUUGAAG